rnacentral:lncRNA from 1 species
CGUCCGUUAUAGCCCAUCUUCAUCUGCAAUUUCAUGCCGAUGCCCUUUGUGUGCUUCCCGAACUCCCCAAUAUUCAGAUCCCCACCGUCGUCAUAGGGUUUCACGGCGGAUCUGACGGGCCUGGGGGGCUCCGCGGCGAGCUUGGUGGAUGAAACGACGGCGUUGCAGCCGCGGUCUCGCCUCAUGCGUUUUCUAGAGCCGUCGUUGUCUCCUUCGUCGACGUCGUGGUCGGAGGAGGAGAAAGCGAGAGCGAAGAUGCGGAGAUUUCCUUCCGAGGUCUCAACGACGCGUCGGAGAUUGUCCUCCUUGCGCUUGCGAGAAAGGCGAUCGAUUUCAGAUCUCAAAUCCAUCGAUCUCAGACCAGAUUCAGAUCUGCAGAGCCUCUCGAUUUCAGAUCUCAAAUCCAUCAAUCUCAGAUCAGAUUUAGAUCUGCAAAAGAGACCG